GGUGAGUGAAAGUGCAAUAGCAGAAAGCUAACACAUUUUAAUCCAGGUCAUCUGGGUGAAUAACAGUGUAUUUAAACCAUGAGGCCAAUAGCAGCUCUCAAUCAUUGCUGUUUUGUUUUGGAUCACUAUGGAGUGAGCCAUUGAAUUUGCUCAGUUCAGUUGGUACCAUGGAUAUUUAUCAUGCUAAAAGGGACAGCCUGUGGAGCUUUAAUUAAAGUUUUUGUCAUUUUUAUUCACGGGUGGUAAGAAACUUGACAAAUGAUCAUGUUUGGUAUAACUUUUAGUCAAGGAAUUAGAUGCAACUAUGAUAUUUCUAAACUGCAUACAAUAUUUAUUUUGGUCUAUGAGUAUAGUUUGUCUAUAGUACCUAAUAAUGUCAUUAGUAUUUACUUUAUUCAACUUUUUUUCUCUCAAUCUCCUGUUGUAUCACCAUGGAGUUUUGUGGACAUUCAUUUUGUGACUUAUAAAUGUUGAUUUGUAUUACUAAUAGUGCAUAUAGUCGUUACUAAUGAUAACAUUAAUUUAAUAUCAAAAAUCCUGUUAUGAACAAGUUUGAAGGUAAAGGCUUUCGAGUGAUUGCUGUAAAAGUCGUUGAGGGACGUAAAGAGUUAAUUUGUCGCUCUCUGUUGAACGCUGUGAUGGGCUGCGAGAUCAUUCGAGAGUGCAUUUUCAGCGUCCAAUCAGCUGCGCGGAGUCCACUCCGCAUUCAGCCAAUAGGGAGAAUGGGAGGCUCUAUCGAAUUUGAAUGAGGAGUGUAUCUUUCGGCGCCAUUUUCGAGUGAGCAGCGAUUGCCUCAGCAGCUGCGGAGAGAGGAUGCUGCGAAUAUAUGAAGCUGUCGCUGAGACGGGGAGAAACCAAGCGCUCAAAAUUAAACUGCGCUUUUAGAGAGGGAAAUCACGUAAUUUCAACGGAAACACAGUUGGAGAGCCUCGCCUGCUUUCGGAGUGGACAGGAGACUUCGAUCUGCAAAAGAUGCUGAUGAUCAUCUGAACGUCCUUUAGGUAGAUAAACGAUAGGUGAUAAGUCUGUACCCAUCUGUGAACAUAUGGUAAGGACUUGAAGCCUGGAAGAUGAAGAGAGUGCAAACAACACAGUAGAUGAGAAGAGCUGGAAGCGGAGGGACCAUGACUGCAGUUCUGGCAAUGCUGUAGCAGCACGGAAUGGUUUGUGGGUUACACAGAGAUGCAGGCCAUACUGUGCUGCAGCAGUAAAGCCUGAAUGUACAACCUGGCUGCCACCUAUCAGUUCUUUAACAUGCUGCCUUUGUUCAGUGAUUGAAGUUUGUUGUUUAGUAUCACUCUUGCAUACACAGUAGUCUUCACUGUCUGAAUUAAUGUCACAUAGUCAGCUGUUUUCCUGAUAGUAAAUUUAUCCUUCUCAUUUACUGGUCGCUUUACUGUAGCAGCACGUAAAUAUUGGAGUUAAGACUAGCUGAAACCUCCAGUAUUGAUCGUGCUGCUGAAGCAAAGCUGACCACUCACAAUCAGUGCAACUGACCACCCAGUGUACUCAGUCAACCCUGGUGGUGUUAAACAGUGGAUUUGCUUAAGAGAUGCUCACAGGUACAUUAUUUACUCACACAUUCUGAGUUAAUACGAUAUUGUUUUGAUAGUUAAAAUGUGAAUACAGCAUAUUUUUACAUUUCAUUGUUAUGUCUGCACACUUGCAAAAAUAAAAUUUUAAAUGGG